rnacentral:rRNA from 1 species
CCUACGGGGGGCUGCAGUGGGGAAUAUUGGACAAUGGGCGAAAGCCUGAUCCAGCCAUUCCGCGUGUGUGAAGAAGGCCUUCGGGUUGUAAAGCACUUUCAGUGGGGAAGAAAGCCUUGGGGCUAAUACCCUCGAGGAAGGACAUCACCCACAGAAGAAGCACCGGCUAACUCCGUGCCAGCAGCCGCGGUAAUACGGAGGGUGCGAGCGUUAAUCGGAAUUACUGGGCGUAAAGCGCGCGUAGGCGGUCUGAUAAGCCGGUUGUGAAAGCCCCGGGCUCAACCUGGGAACGGCAUCCGGAACUGUCAGGCUAGAGUGCAGGAGAGGAAGGUAGAAUUCCCGGUGUAGCGGUGAAAUGCGUAGAGAUCGGGAGGAAUACCAGUGGCGAAGGCGGCCUUCUGGACUGACACUGACGCUGAGGUGCGAAAGCGUGGGUAGCAAACAGGAUUAGAUACCCUUGUAGUC